UACGUAGGCAGCGAGCGUUGUUCGGAAUUACUGGGCGUAAAGAGUGUGUAGGCGGUGCUCUAAGUUCGGUGUGAAAUCUCCCGGCUUAACCGGGAGGGUGCGGCGGAAACUGGAGUGCUUGAGGGUGGGAGAGGUAAGCGGAAUUCCUGGUGUAGCGGUGAAAUGCGUAGAUAUCAGGAGGAACACCUGUGGUGUAGACAGCUUACUGGACCACUUCUGACGCUGAGACACGAAAGCGUGGGUAGCAAACAGG
rnacentral:rRNA from 1 species